rnacentral:rRNA from 1 species
UACAGAGGGGGCAAGCGUUGUUCGGAAUUACUGGGCGUAAAGAGCGCGCAGGCGGUCGUUCAAGUCGAGUGUGAAAGCCCCCGGCUCAACUGGGGAGGGUCACUCGAUACUGAUCGACUCGAAGGCAGGAGAGGGUAGUGGAAUUCCCGGUGUAGUGGUGAAAUGCGUAGAUAUCGGGAGGAACACCAGUGGCGAAGGCGACUACCUGGCCUGUUCUUGACGCUGAGGCGCGAAAGCUAGGGAGCAAACGGG